CGCGUAGGCGGGAUGGCAAGUCGGUCGUGAAAUCCUUCGGCUCAACCGAAGAACGUCGAUCGAUACUGCUGUUCUUGAGGAUUGCAGAGGAGACUGGAAUUCCCGGUGUAGCGGUGAAAUGUGUAGAGAUCGGGAGAAACACCGGUGGCGAAGGCGGGUCUCUGGGCAAUUCCUGACGCUGAGGCGCGAAAGCGUGGGGAGCAAACG
rnacentral:rRNA from 1 species